GAUGAACGCUGGCGGCGUGCCUAAUACAUGCAAGUCGAGCGAACAGAUGAGAAGCUUGCUUCUCUGAUGUUAGCGGCGGACGGGUGAGUAACACGUGGGUAACCUACCUAUAAGACUGGGAUAACUCCGGGAAACCGGGGCUAAUACCGGAUAAUAUUUUGAACCGCAUGGUUCAAUAGUGAAAGACGGUUUCGGCUGUCACUUAUAGAUGGACCCGCGCCGUAUUAGCUAGUUGGUAAGGUAACGGCUUACCAAGGCGACGAUACGUAGCCGACCGGAGAGGGUGAUCGGCCACACUGGAACUGAGACACGGUCCAGACUCCUACGGGAGGCAGCAGUAGGGAAUCUUCCGCAAUGGGCGAAAGCCUGACGGAGCAACGCCGCAUGAGUGAUGAAGGUCUUCGGAUCGUAAAACUCUGUUGUUAGGGAAGAACAAAUUUGUUAGUAACUGAACAAGUCUUGACGGUACCUAACCAGAAAGCCACGGCUAACUACGUGCCAGCAGCCGCAGUAA
rnacentral:rRNA from 1 species